rnacentral:rRNA from 1 species
GACGAACGCUGGCGGCGUGCUUAACACAUGCAAGUCGAACGAUGAACCACUUCGGUGGGGAUUAGUGGCGAACGGGUGAGUAACACGUGGGCAAUCUGCCCUUCACUCUGGGACAAGCCCUGGAAACGGGGUCUAAUACCGGAUACGAGCCUCCAGGGCAUCUUGGAGGUUGGAAAGCUCCGGCGGUGAAGGAUGAGCCCGCGGCCUAUCAGCUUGUUGGUGAGGUAAUGGCUCACCAAGGCGACGACGGGUAGCCGGCCUGAGAGGGCGACCGGCCACACUGGGACUGAGACACGGCCCAGACUCCUACGGGAGGCAGCAGUGGGGAAUAUUGCACAAUGGGCGAAAGCCUGAUGCAGCGACGCCGCGUGAGGGAUGACGGCCUUCGGGUUGUAAACCUCUUUCAGCAGGGAAGAAGCGAAAGUGACGGUACCUGCAGAAGAAGCGCCGGCUAACUACGUGCCAGCAGCCGCCGUAA